AACCAGCACCUCAAGUGGUCAGGAUGAUUAUUGGGCCUAAAGCAUCCGUAGCUCGUUUUGUAAGUUUUCGGUUAAAUCCAUACGCUUAACGUAUGGGCUGCCGGGAAUACUGCAUAACUAGGAAGUGGGAGAGGUAGACGGUACUCGGUAGGAAGGGGUAAAAUCCUUUGAUCUAUUGAUGACCACCUGUGGCGAAGGCGGUCUACCAGAACACGUUCGACGGUGAGGGAUGAAAGCUGGGGGAGCAAACCGGAUUAGAAACCCGAGUAGUCC
rnacentral:rRNA from 1 species